rnacentral:lncRNA from 1 species
AUGGUGCAGGGGGAAGAAGAGCAGAGGAGCUCCAAGAGGAGGUCCAAGAGGAAGAGGGCGGAGGAGAGCAUGGCCCAGGCUGAGGCCCAGCACGCAGAGGCCGAGAGGAAGCAGAAGGUCAUCGACCAGGUGGUCUCCGUGCUGGAAGAGAGCCCCAGCCGACACCGCAAGCGCAUGGUGCUCGUGCUGUGCCACAGAGUGAUGAGGGAGAGGGACAGCUGCGACCUGGAGCCCGAAGCCGAGCCUGAGCCCCCAGUCUGAGCCUAUGGAGAACCCUGCGCCUGGGGCUGACAGAGCGGUCUCAGGGGCUCCUGCUGCCUCUGCCUCUGCUUCCAAUUCAGCCUCCGCUUCCACCAUGGACUCCACAUCCACCUCCACCUCCACCUAGGGAGUGGACCGAGGCAGAGAAGCACAGGCCCCAGGAACUGGGGGGAGGGGACAGGGGAAGGGAUGCUGGCCUCAUGGAGACCAAGUGUGGACAAUAAAGCACAAUGGGGAUGGAGAAGGGGCCUCUGUGUGCAUUUCUGCCCAUUCCCUGAGGGCUGAGAAAGAAGGAAGGUAAGGAAGGUUAGGGAGCAAGGGGGGAGUGGGAGGGAGGGAAGGGGAGAGGACCGGAGGGGGAAGGGGGAGGGGAAGGGACAAGGAACAGGAGGGAGGAGGGGCCCCUGCACCUCAUUUGUGGAUGGAAGACAAUACUCACAGGCACCCUGGGGGUCUCCAGGAGCUCGGGGGAAGGGACUGGGACAGAGAGGUCAGGCUUGUGGAAAGCAAAUGUAGACAAUAGAGUACCAUCAAGACAGGAAAAGGGGCCUCUGUGUGCAUUUCUGCCUGUUCCGAGGGCUGGGAGGAAGUCGGAGGGAAAAAGGGAUAGGGAGGGGAAGGGGGAGGUGAAGGGAGGGGAGGAGGGAGGAAAGAGAGGUAGAGGAGCGGAAGGG